GAGGCAGCAGUGGGGAAUUUUGGACAAUGGGCGCAAGCCUGAUCCAGCAAUGCCGCGUGAGUGAAGAAGGCCUUCGGGUUGUAAAGCUCUUUUGUCAGGGAAGAAACGGCUGCGGCUAAUAUCCGCGGCUAAUGACGGUACCUGAAGAAUAAGCACCGGCUAACUACGUGCCAGCAGCCGCGGUAAUACGUAGGGUGCAAGCGUUAAUCGGAAUUACUGGGCGUAAAGCGUGCGCAGGCGGUUUUGUAAGUCUGACGUGAAAUCCCCGGGCUCAACCUGGGAAUUGCGUUGGAGACUGCAAGGCUGGAGUCUGGCAGAGGGGGGUAGAAUUCCACGUGUAGCAGUGAAAUGCGUAGAGAUGUGGAGGAACACCGAUGGCGAAGGCAGCCCCCUGGGUCAAGACUGACGCUCAUGCACGAAAGCGUGGGGAGCAAACAGGAUUAGAUACCCUGGUAGUCCACGCCCUAAACGAUGACUACUAGUUGUCGGGUUUUAAUUAACUUGGUAACGCAGCUAACGCGUGAAGUAGACCGCCUGGGGA
rnacentral:rRNA from 1 species